CCCCUUCACCGGAAGUCUCCCUUGGGACUGCUUUCUCUCGCGAGAACUCCCGGGACUCGCGCAUGCGCCCCGAGUCCAACCGUAGCCAUUUCCGCCCGGGGGUCGGGGGUUGGCUUGCGGCCGCCGCCAGGAGGCGCCCCAGACAUGCUGAGGUGGGGGGACUGGGACCACCUCUGCGCCUGCGCACUGACGACCUUCUCCCUCUGGGUGGGCGCCUGCGGCUGUGGGUGUCCCGACGCUCCGGGCGCGGGCUGCGUUUUCUGUGGAAAGUUGCACAGCGGAUGCCGAUAAUAAAUGCAUUUAUUUAUUAACAUUUGUGAAAAUGCAUGUCCUUUAGUGCCCCCUGGAGAUCUGUGUGCAGAAAAGACUAUUUAGAGGUUUAUGUAGUUUUAAAAGUUUAAUAACUACUUGAUAUUUUAAAGUUAUCCUCAUUAUUUUUCUGAAUGCUUAUUAGCGUUUACUGACGCCUACUGCGUACCACGCAGUAGGUUCUGGAGACAAAUCGGGAACAAAGUGCCGAACGCCCCGCCUGCCCGGAGCUUACAGCAUCAGGACACAAGAUUUGACUGCUCUGGAUAUUCAUGUAAGUGGAACCAUACACUUUUGCGUGGCCUUUUGUGCCUGGCUUCUUUAACUGAGCGUAACAUCUUCAAGGUUCAUCCUUGUAGCCUGUGACGGCGCUUCAUUCCUUUUCAUGGGUCAGUACUGUUCCGUUGUACGGAUAGACCACAUUUGUGUAUUCAGUCAUCAGCGGAUGGAUCUUUCAGUUUUUUCUGCUUUUUGGCCAUUAUGAAUAUAAUAAAUCCCCUACGUAGGAACCUUCAAGUUGCGAACUUUCAAAGAUGCGAACGUGGAACUUACUAACGAAGACCUGAUGGAAUUGGAGGCCCAGAAAGGACAAAGAGAGACAAGAGGAAGAAGAAUUAACUGAAGAACCAAAGAGAUUCAUGAUGCAGGAAAUGGCAAGGGGAUUUUCUUUAUUUGAGAAGGCACUGUUAGUCUUUGAGGCACAGGACCCGAACGUAGAACAGUACACGAAGGUUGCAGCAGCCAUUCAGAAAGCAAUCCAGUGCUACCGUGUCGUCUAUGAUGGGCAAAAAAGAGCUACUACCCAGACAUCACUGGAUCAUUUUUUCAAGAGGGUAGAUAGAAUUGAAUCCAGCAAGGAACUAGAACCUGUGCCAUCAACGUCAGGCGUGAGUGAAAUUGCAGCUUGCCCUCCGUCUCAUAUUGCUGACGAUCCUUCAGCUCUACCGUCUCCCACUUCCUUUCCCUCCUCCAGUCAGUAACUCUUCCUGCCUGUUCCCUGGAUGCCAGCCCCUGGAUGCCAGCUGUUGUACUACUGUACUUUUCAAGAGACCCUUGCGCUGGAAUCCAUCUUGGCUAAAAGAUGCACGUGCACACAGGGGAGGACCCUGAGUCAGACCAGAUAUGGACUCAGAGCCGGACAAAGCAAGAUGAUUGGCCAGAGGGAACCUAGAAGAACUUACCCCAUAUGAUUUAAACCACCCCCAAAG